GAUGAACGCUAGCGGCAGGCCUAAUACAUGCAAGUCGAACGGUGUAGCAAUACACAGUGGCGCACGGGUGCGUAACACGUAUGCAACCUACCUUACAUUGGGGGAUAGCCUUUCGAAAGGGGGAUUAAUACCGCAUAAGACAGUAACUAGGCAUCUAGUAGCUGUUAAAGUUUUAUCGAUGUAAGCUGGGCAUGCGUCCAAUUAGUUAGUUGGCGAGGUAAUGGCUCACCAAGACGAUGAUUGGUAGGGGAACUGAGAGGUCAAUCCCCCACACUGCCACUGAGAUACGGGCCAGACUCCGACGGGAGGCAACAGUAGGUAAUAUUGAGCAAUGAGCCCAAGCCUGACCCAGCCGUGCCGCGUGCAGGAAGAAGGCGUUAUGCGUUGUAAACUGCUUUUAGACAGGAAGAAACGACCCUUGCGAGGGGCAUUGACGGUACUGUAUGAAUAAGCACCGGCUAACUCCGUGCCAGCCGCCGCAGUAAGAC
rnacentral:rRNA from 1 species